CUUGUAGGGUCGGAUGACUCCUAGCUGAAGAUAUCUCUGUAUACAAAUAGUAUUUGCUCUAUUAGAAUUGCAGUGAUUUAUGAUAUCUUCUUUGUUGUGUUAUUUUCCUGAUUAUUCCCAAUAUCCAGUGGUACUAAAACUUCAUCACCCUAGCUAUAUGUCCAACAUGAGCUUAUUUUAAAAGUCUCACGCAGUGUGGUGAACUGAUCUGUCUUACCUGUUUAGUUUAUCUUGCAUGUCUCUAACACACACCUGUUUGAAUAUUUUGGCCUUAUCAUACAAAGCAAAUAAAAUUGCACAUUCUUAAUGUA
rnacentral:lncRNA from 1 species